CUUAUGAUGUGUACUCUGUUUACAUUACAGUUGUUUAUUAGUUUACUCGUUUGUUUUGCGACUGAUGAAAUGCCGGCAUAUAUAUAUUUUCAACAUCUGACAUAACCCUGUAUGUUUUGCAGGGACAACCCAGGACGUGCAUUUCUCAGCACCCAGUCAACUGCCAAAAGUGACUCAAACACAGGCCACCAGUGGAACUCGGCUGUACCACUGCAGUGCUGCGGAAAUUGCCUUCACCAGCGGCUUUGCAACAGCUGUUUCGCAGCAUGUCGGAGACAAUGCCUACGAAAUUAUUGGCCCUGAUCAUGAGAGCCCUCAAGGGGCAAACAACAUCUCUGUUGCAGAAGUGAGCCCGGUACCACUUGGAAGUUACCAUGACAGAUGACACGGCAGCAAUAGAUACAGAGACUGCCACGUCUACUGCAGCUGCAACAGUGUACGAGGCAAGCAGCAGCGCGUCAGCAGCAGUGUCAGAAGGAACCACACCAGGCCUGGUAGAGCAACAUGUGUGCUAUCACUGACUUUUUUUGUAGUGGAUACAACUCAUUUGCUCAACAUACAAAAGCUUUUCACCACGACUGUGAGCCAGUGUUAUUGUGCAGCAAGUGCAAGACUAAGUUAAGUGUUAUAACACAGUACAAGCAUCACU
rnacentral:lncRNA from 1 species